UACAGAGACUGCAAGCGUUAUUCGGAUUCACUGGGCGUAAAGGGUGCGCAGGCGGCCAAGUGUGUGAGGCGUGAAAGCCUGGAGCUUAACUCCAGAAUUGCACCUCAAACUACUUGGCUAGAGCAUUGGAGAGGGUAGCAGAAUUCAUGGUGUAGCAGUGAAAUGCGUAGAUAUCAUGAGGAAUACCAGAGGCGAAAGGCGGCUACCUGGACAAUUGCUGACGCUCAGGCACGAAAGCGUGGGGAGCAAAAGGG
rnacentral:rRNA from 1 species